rnacentral:rRNA from 1 species
AUUGAACGCUGGCGGCAGGCCUAACACAUGCAAGUCGAACGGUAACAGGAAGCAGCUUGCUGCUUCGCUGACGAGUGGCGGACGGGUGAGUAAUGUCUGGGAAGCUGCCUGAUGGAGGGGGAUAACUACUGGAAACGGUAGCUAAUACCGCAUAAUGUCGCAAGACCAAAGAGGGGGACCUUCGGGCCUCUUGCCAUCGGAUGUGCCCAGAUGGGAUUAGCUUGUUGGUGGGGUAACGGCUCACCAAGGCGACGAUCCCUAGCUGGUCUGAGAGGAUGACCAGCCACACUGGGACUGAGACACGGUCCAGACUCCUACGGGAGGCAGCAGUGGGGAAUAUUGCACAAUGGGCGCAAGCCUGAUGCAGCCAUGCCGCGUGUAUGAAGAAGGCCUUCGGGUUGUAAAGUACUUUCAGCGGGGAGGAAGGGAGUAAAGUUAAUACCUUUGCUCAUUGACGUUACCCGCAGAAGAAGCACCGGUUAACUCCGUG